UACGUAGGGUGCAAGCGUUGUCCGGAAUUAUUGGGCGUAAAGAGCUCGUAGGCGGCUUGUCGCGUCGACUGUGAAAUCUCGGGGCUUAACCCCGGAACUGCAUUCGAUACUGCUUUGCUAGAGUACUGGAGAGGAGACUGGAAUUUACGGUGUAGCAGUGAAAUGCGUAGAUAUCGUAAGGAAGACCAGUGGCGAAGGCGAGUCUCUGGACAGUUACUGACGCUGAGGCACGAAGGCCAGGGGAGCAAACGGG
rnacentral:rRNA from 1 species